AUUCCUUUUAGGACUCAACCUUAAAAUAAUAUCAUAAAUAAGGACAGAGAUUGUUUAGUAUGUCUGGAACACACUAUGAUCAACAGCACAUAUAUUAACUACAAAACAUACAUCUAGGCAAUAGCAUUUUACAGAGUCAUCAAAAAUUAUGUUUUUUGAUAUUAUGCAAAACAACGUUAAGUAACAUAUAAAUCUGUCAUAUAUGAUAUUUUCUCAAAUGACUUAUUUAAAAAAUAAAACGGGGAUAAAAUGUUAAUAGUGAUCUUCCUAGAUUAACACAGUGGAAGAUGGUUUUAGUGCUUUUUUUAAACCUUUUUUCUUUAUUUGCCCAUUUCAAAAGAUAACGAGAACAAAUUAUUCUUAAGAUCAGAAAUAAAAUUCCUUGAAAAAUCAUAACAAAACAAAGAAAGUUUUUAAAGGCCACGUGAGUCAGAUCUUUAAGAGUCAAGCAGUCUGUUGAAGAUCCGUCGAUCUCAGGAUGUGUGGCCUGACCUUCCCACUCAAAUAUCCAGAACAAGACCAUGAGCAUGAAAGUUGCUUCCACGACUUGGUGAGGCCGAUGAGAGCAGCGGCCCUGAGCAAGGGACCCACCCCCCUGCCUCCCACCCCUCAUUGGAAGCAAUUAGAGAAAAUUAGCUCUCUACACGAGGAAGCCAACUGCAAGCUUCGCCAGCAGGAACCACUGCAGGAUGGAAAGCAUGUCACAAGGCAUGUUGAACCACUUAUGGAAGGCGGAUGGUAAAUCUGGCCUAAUGAAGACUGUAUACACCUCUUCUGUUGGCUCCCAGCCAGUCAACUAGUUUAGUCUGGAUCUAAGAGGAAAACAACACGCUCUUCAUAUUCAGAGUGGGAAGUCCUGAGUAGCUCUAAGUUAAUAGCUUCUUUUGAAACUGACAAAGAGAAAGAGAGAAGGAGAGAGAGGGAGAGAGAGGGAGAGAGAGAGAGAAAGAGAAAACUUACCAUCCAGCCAAAGCCCUGGUCUGACAUUGUGCAGAUUGUACUCUGCCCACCAGGGGCACAAAUACACCAUCGUAAUGGUGCCCGGUGCCCAGUUACAUUCCAUCUCAAACUUUUCAAGACAUUUAAAAUUCCUAUAGCCUUGAUUAUCGUUGAACAGCAUCCAGUUAAAACUCAUGUCAUCCAGUUCCUAGUGCACCAGCCUCUGAGAGUUGGGUAAGUUUUCAGAAAGGGGAGUUGUUCACCUAACUUUCACCUUCAAGCCUCAGAAUAUCCUUACACCAAUACUCAUAAGUACUCUCAUAUCUGAAAGUGAUGACUUAAAUGCUUCUUGGUCUUGUGUAAACGUACUCGUUUUAAACAAAUUUUCUCAUUGUGAUAAAAUACAGAUAACAUAAAAGUUGACAUCUUAACCAUUUUUAAGUGUGAAGCUCAGCAGUAUCAAAAACAUUCACGUCUUUCUGUAACCAUCACCACUAACCAUCCUCAGAACUUUUCUAUCUUCCCAAGCUGAACCGUCAUACACAUUAAACAAUAAUUCUGUGUUCUCCCUCACCGCAGCCCCUGAGAACCAUCAUUUUACUUUCUGUCUCUAUGCAUUUACCUAUCCUAGGCUCCUCAUAGAAGUAGAAUCACACUUUUGUGUCUGGCUUAUUUCACUUAGCAUAAUGUUUUCAAGUUGAACCAAAAUUUUGAGCCAACAAAAUCUCUAAGCUGAUAAGCUGUCACGUAAAAUAAUUCUUCCUUGUUUCUAGUUUCUUGCACUUUCCUUUUCAAAAGUGUCUUUUGACCAGGGCUUCCUUUUGAACAGCCCGAGUCCUGGUAAAUUGGACAGACGCUCUCACAGACUCUUUCCACUGCCAAUGGAAGUAUCAGGCAGAAUUUAGAUAACCACUUGGUGGGGAUAUUGCAGAAGUUUGAAUUAGAUGAGCUUAAAUCUCUCAUUCUACUCUACAACCUGGUGACUUUUACAAAUGCUUUUGUUUGUUCAUUCAUUUAUUCACCAUAGGAAUUUGUCAGCACUUACUGAGUACCUACCGCAUGUAAAUGAUGGCUGUUGAUGCAGUGUGGUGACUGAUGAUAUUGACUUGGCUCCCAACUUCUGCAGCAGAAUCAGGAACUUGGGCACUGCCCUAACAGACUGGCUUUUGCUCUCAAUCAGCUGGCACUGCUGGUUGGGGCUCCUGGAGACAUUUCGACCUGCCAACCAUGACCCAGCCCCAGGCUUCUGUUCUUCCAGUCACCGUCUCACUUCUUUCAGGUGCCUGCUCUAAGGUCACCUCAGUCGGAAGGCUUUCCUGGCCACAGUAGGUAACUGAAUCAUGCAAUCUCAUGGGACAGAACACCUGGAGAGGGAGAAGCUGCCACAAGAGCACGGAGCCUGGGCUUCUUCUGAUCACCUCACACUAUCUAGCUCGGCCGCCUUGUCAGACACCGUGCGACGCUGUCUUCAAACCGCCCAGAGAUGGGCCAAAGGCAAGUAUCUGGCUGUGGGGCAGAUUUUCUUCUCAGCAGAGGAUAAUAAGCCAGAUCAAGCAGAGGAUAUGGGAACAAAGCAUGGGGCUGCCGUUCCCCUUCUGGCACAUGGAAGAAUCAGGCUGUGAGUUUCAUUUACACGAUGUUUCUCUGGAGACAGAAAUGGCCAAAGUUUCCAAAGUGUACGUGAUUUUCUUUUUUCCAGGGAAAGAUUAAUCUUUACUUCUUCUAAAAAGCAACCUGUUUAUACAUUUGCUGGAGGAUGUGCCUGGAAAAAAAUUAAAAUAGGAGAACUUGAUUUGACACAUCUGGAGCAGACGGGCAUGUUUUGUUUGGCUUCCUGAAGAUGUUUAAAUUGGGGUUAAGAUGGGGAAGAUGGUAAAACUGUGUGAAGACUCAGGUGGCUGGGAAAAGACCAGCGUGGAAUGUGAAAAAAGGAGCGGAAUAAAAUGUAGCAGGCUGAAUCA